rnacentral:tmRNA from 2 species
GGGGGCGACACGGCUUCGACGUGGGUCGCGAAACCUUCGGGGCAUGCCGAGGUGCAGAGUUCCUCGUAAAUCCAGCUGCAAACUGAUAGUUGCCAACGACGACAACUACGCCCUAGCGGCUUAGUCCCCGCUAGCCUCUUUCCCGGUUUGUCUGUGGGCUGGGAGCCAAGGGGUCGAUGCACGCAGAACCGCGUAGCGUUGUGCCUGUUAACGGUGCGUUAAACUCAAGCAGGCUCAGCCGGCCAGCAUUCCCGUCUGUCGGAAGCUGGCAGGUUAAAUCAUAGGCAGACUACGCAUGUAGAACCGGACGGCGGAGGACUUGCGGACGCGGGUUCGAUUCCCGCCGCCUCCACCA